rnacentral:rRNA from 1 species
GAUGAACGCUGGCGGCGUGCUUAACACAUGCAAGUCGAACGAAGCAUUUAGGACAGAUUACUUCGGUUUGAAGUUCUUUAUGACUGAGUGGCGGACGGGUGAGUAACGCGUGGUUACCUUCCUUUUUCUUGGGGGUUGCAGCCUGGAACCGCUUGUUAUUCCCCAUUAACCCCCCAUUUUUCCUUACCUUGUUUUGAAAAACUCGGUGGUAUAAGAUGGACCCGCGUCUGAUUAGCUAGUUGGUGAGAUAACAGCCCACCAAGGCGACGAUCAGUAGCCGACCUGAGAGGGUGACCGGCCACAUUGGGACUGAGACACGGCCCAGACUCCUACGGGAGGCAGCAGUGGGGAAUAUUGCACAAUGGAGGAAACUCUGAUGCAGCGACGCCGCGUGAGUGAAGAAGUAAUUCGUUAUGUAAAGCUCUAUCAGCAGGGAAGAUAGUGACGGUACCUGACUAAGAAGCUCCGGCUAAAUACGUG